CCAGAGGGCCGGGCGGCCGCGGCGUGGCGGGUAACUUCCACGGCGAGGAAAGUCCGGGCUCCACGAAAUGACGGUGCCGGUUAACGACCGGCUGGAGUGAUCCAAGGGACAGUGCAACAGAAAGCAGAUCGCUAGGGUUUCGACCCAGUGACAUUGAAAGGGUGCGGUAAGAGCGCACCGCGUCCCCGGCAACGGGUGACGGCACGGUAAACCCCACCGGGAGCAAGACCGAAUAGGGGCGGCGCGCGACGUCAUGUCGCUAGGCCUGUUUCGGCCGAGACCGCCCGGGUUGGUUGCUUGAGGGACGGAGCAAUCCGUCUCCUAGAGGAAUGGCCGCACAUCUCUCCGUGCUUCGGUUCGGGGGGAGGACAAAACCCGGCUUACAGGCCCUCUGGCAAA
rnacentral:RNase_P_RNA from 1 species